CCACGGACGCAAUGCCUCUUUCUUUCAUUUUGCACGAAACGCUACUUGGGGUUGGGGGUCAAAAUCAGACCCAACAAUCUCGCUCUAUCUAGACUGUUCCGACUUGGAACGGUGUCUCGCUUCGGCGGCGAGACUGGUUCAGCGGCGACAAUCGACGUUUGUGAGUUUCUCUUCUAAUCCUGUGGAGAAUGUCCAACUAAUUGGUAAUAUAUUGGCAAUGCUAUACGAAGCGACACUGAAUUGAGUAGGCUGAGUUAGUUUGUCAGUUUUGAUCAAUUACUCUUGCUACUUGGAGAGGCAAAAAUGCUUGAAAUGUUGCCGAUAUUACCCCUUCCAGCGCCCCCCUCUGAUGGGAAUCUUGGUCCUCUUCCCCCAUCUCAAGUUUCAGAGCAAUCUGAUGAUGAGAAGAAAAUAGAGACUGAGGAUCAGAACAGACCUAACUCUGUUCCCACAUCAAUUGCAACCCAUACAAGAACCAUUGGAAUUAUACAUCCUCCCCCAGACAUUAGGAAUAUUGUCGAUAAAACUGCACAAUUUGUUGCAAAGAAUGGACCUGAGUUCGAGAAAAGAAUUAUUGCAAACAAUGCUGGCAAUGCUAAGUUUAAUUUCUUGAAUGCCUCGGAUCCAUACCAUGCUUAUUACCAGCACCGCCUCUCUGAGUUUCGAGCUCAAAAUCAAACUUCUUCCCUGCAGCAGCCUUCAGAUACAUCUGCCUCAGAGUCGGCUCCUUCUGUUCCUGACGCGGAUGGUAACGAGGCAGUUACAAAAUCUGACCCCUCGGCCCAGUUUAGACCUGUCCGUAAAGUUCUCGAGUCACCAGAGGCUGAGCAAUACACCGUUAGGCUUCCAGAGGGGAUUACAGGGGAGGAAUUAGAUAUUAUUAAGCUCACUGCCCAGUUUGUGGCUCGUAACGGAAAGUCUUUUUUGACGGGAUUGACUAGCAGAGAGAUUAACAACCCUCAAUUCCAUUUUUUGAAGCCAACCCACAGUAUGUUCAUGCUUUUCACGUCACUUGCGGACGCAUAUUCAAAAGUUUUGAUGCCUCCAAAGGGAUUGACAGAUAAGUUGAAGAAGAGUGUUACUGAUAUGACUACCGUGCUUGAACGUUGCUUGCACCGGCUGGAGUGGGAACGUUCACAAGAGCAAGCAAGGCAGAAAGCUGAAGACGAGAUUGAGCAGGAACGGGUGCAAAUGGCUAUGAUCGAUUGGCAUGAUUUUGUUGUGGUUGAGUCUAUAGACUUUGCAGAUGAUGAAGAUGAGGAGUUACCUGCUCCAAUGACCCUCGAAGAGGUUAUAAGGAGGAGCAAGAUGUCAGCUGUGGUAGAAGAAGAUAUUGUCGAGCCCGGAAAGGAAGUGGAAAUGGAAAUGGAUGAAGAAGAGGUCCAACUUGUUGAAGAAGGAAUGAAGGCAGCUAGUCUUGAAGAGAACGGCGAAGAGAAGAAGAAUGAGAUGACCAUGCCAAUGGAGGAACAGGAACCACCAAUGAGAAUUGUGAAGAACUGGAAGAGGCCCGAGGACAGGAUCCCUGUAGAAAGAGAUCCGACAAAAUAUGUUGUUUCGCCAAUCACUGGUGAGCUAAUUCCCAUUAACGAGAUGUCAGAGCAUAUGAGGAUCUCUCUCAUCGACCCCAAGUACAAGGAGCAGAAAGAGAGGAUGUUUGCUAAGAUUCGGGAGACUACUCUUGCUCAGGAUGAUGAAAUUUCCAGAAACAUUGUUGGACUUGCACGGACCCGGCCUGAUAUUUUUGGUACCACGGAGGAAGAAGUUUCUAAUGCAGUCAAGGCAGAGAUUGAGAAGAAAAAAGACGAGCAACCAAAGCAGGUCAUAUGGGACGGUCAUACGGGGAGCAUUGGUCGCACUGCAAGCCAGGCCAUGUCACAGAAUGCAAAUGGAGAGGACCAAAACGACACUGCGAAUAAUGAUUCAAGGAAUCUUCCGGGGCCUGCCGCCCCUCCCCCUCCUAAACCUGGUGUGCCAUUGGUUCGGCCACUUCCUCCUCCACCUGGUCUAGCCUUGAAUCUUCCUCGUCUACCCCCAAAUGCAGUCCAGUAUUCAACUCCAACUAGUAGUGGAAUGCUUGCACCACCUCCACCGAGGCCACCAGUUAAUAUGAUUCCGUCUGUGCGGCCACCUCCUCCAAUGCAACUAAUGCCUGGACAGCAAUCCCUUUUCUUAAAUCAUCCACCCCCAAUGCCUCCAAUUUCUGUGAAUCCACCACCUAGUAUUCCUGUGCCACCUCCACCUGGAUCUCAAUUUACACCCCUGUCAGCUCCUCGGCCUUUUGUUCCUCUUUCCAUACACCAACCAGGCAUGCAUAUGGUUCCACCACCACCUUUACCUCAAGGAAUGCCUCCGCCGCCACCGCCUGAGGAAGCUCCUCCGCCGCUUCCAGAAGAACCGGAGCCAAAGAGACAGAGGCUUGAUGAUUCUGUUCUUAUUCCCGAAGACCAGUUCCUGGCUCAACAUCAACAGGGACCUGUUCGCAUCGCUGUAUCUGUGCCAAAUGUUGAUGAAGGAAACCUCAAAGGGCAAGUACUGGAGAUAACAGUACAGUCCUUAACCGAAACCGUUGGCAGUCUGAAAGAGAAAAUUGCAGGAGAGAUCCAACUUCCUUCAAACAAACAGAAGCUGAGCGGAAAGGCUGGUUUUCUCAAGGAUAAUUUAUCUCUUGCAUAUUACAACGUUGCUGGAGGGGAAACACUUGCUCUUUCUUUAAGAGAGCGUGGUGGUAGGAAGAGAUGAAUGGUUUUUGUUGGCCAGGCCUUUAAAGAUCUGAUGUAUUGGCAAUCGUCUGUUGAGGGUAACAGGAAGUGAGCUGUUCUUUGUCACUAAGCGGAGAAGUUGAUGCUGUCUUAUACAUACAUAAUGCAAGUUUUGUUUUGUAGGGAUAUACUUGAGCAGGAGAGGAGGAACUGUUGUGGAAAGAUCCCAUGCUAGCUAUGUCUCAACUGCGGUGACAGGUGGGAUUUUGUUGUUUCCUCAGUAGAACAGAAGAAUAGACACUUUUCAAAAUGUUCAAGGACAGUUGCCACUCCACCACCACCACCACCAUGACGGCAACCGUCACACCAUUGCUGCUGCUGCUCCACUACUUUCACUGUCUCACCAGCACU